UUUUUUUUGGAUUUUCGAAUAAGGAUAACUAAAUUGCAGUAGCAGUAAGGUAGGAAACCAGAACCUGUUGCAAUUCACGGGGAGAUCAAAGGAUUAUCCGCGGUGGUGGAGAUGAUGGCGGAAUUCGGCGACGACCUUUUAAGCAAUUGUGGGAAUUGCUUUGGGUGGUUGUGGAGGGCUGAUGGAUGGCAGUGGAAGGGCAAC
rnacentral:lncRNA from 1 species